GAUGAACGCUGACAGAAUGCUUAACACAUGCAAGUCAACUUGAAUUUGGGUUUUUAACUUAGGUUUGGGUGGCGGACGGGUGAGUAACGCGUAAAGAACUUGCCUCACAGCUAGGGACAACAUUUGGAAACGAAUGCUAAUACCUAAUAUUAUGAUAAUAGGGCAUCCUAUAAUUAUGAAAGCUAUAAGCGCUGUGAGAGAGCUUUGCGUCCCAUUAGCUAGUUGGAGAGGUAACGGCUCACCAAGGCGAUGAUGGGUAGCCGGCCUGAGAGGGUGAUCGGCCACAAGGGGACUGAGACACGGCCCUUACUCCUACGGGAGGCAGCAGUGGGGAAUAUUGGACAAUGGACCGAGAGUCUGAUCCAGCAAUUCUGUGUGCACGAUGAAGUUUUUCGGAAUGUAAAGUGCUUUCAGUUGGGAAGAAACAAAUGACGGUACCAACAGAAGAAGUGGCGGCUAAAUACGUG
rnacentral:rRNA from 1 species